AUCUCCUCAGGCCCAGGACAAAUGACUCCUUCCACUCCACUUGCCAGGAAAACAGGCCACUGCAGGAAACCCUUUUGCCCCCAGCGGCUCCCUGUCCACAUUCCUGCAGCUCCAGGGGGAGGCUGGCCGGCCUGAAGUUAUCCAUCCUGGCCAGAAGGACUGUUCAGGCCGACUUGUCCCGCCUCCCAGUUUUCGUAGACCAGGAAAUGGAGAUGCAGACAGGGGCAGGCUCUGGCCAGAUAAACUGGAGCUCAAGUGGGAGCAGGAGGAACCCCGAAAACAGCCACCACGGCGGAGCCUUGGGACCUGCAAAGAGCCGUCUGGCCGCUGCUUUCAUCUGAGACUCAGUCCAGCCCUGCAAGGUGGAGCAACUGAAACCCAGAGAAGGGAACUGAUGCGCCCACAGUCACGCACCAGGGGGUGGAGAAGGGGCCUGACUUGGCACUUUAGUGUCCCCAGGAGAGCCUCCUGACAUCUUGACAUCAACACAGUCCCUCAUUCACGUAAGCCCCAUCCGAGGUGCCCAGAGCUGUGCUAAGCACGGUGAUAUCAAGGCACUUGACAACUGGUCCCUUCCCUUCGGGGGAAGCAAACAAACAAAUGGGCCAUUCCAAACGAAGAGGAAAAGCACAGUAGGGACACACUGCAUGGUUGACAUGGCACCAGGGAGGAAAUGACUCGCCUGGCAAAGUCUGAGGGAAAAGAGUAAUUACUAGAAGAGUUUUGGAAAAUGAAGAGUUUUCCGGGCACAGAAGAAGAAAAUGCACCCUAGACAGAGGCAUUCAUGGAGAUGCAAAGGCUGGGUGGUGGGCCCCAAAGGCGGCUUGGUGUGGCUGAAGCACGGAGCCUGAAUUUGUCACAUAGGGUUGGGCGCCAGGUUAUGGAGCAGCUGUGUGAAGUCUGGCAGAGCUUUGCAGGCCAUUCUUAGAGACUUGAAAUAUCUCUUACAUAAGAGGGAAACUGUAUUAGUCAAUAUUCUUAUAGUUACAAAUGACAGAAACCCAAUUCAAAUGGUCUUGGACUUGAAAGAUUUUGACACAUGUGACUGAAACCAGCAAUUACCACAUUCAGGCAUGGCUGGAUCCAGGUGCUCAGAAGAUCUCCUCAGUGGUCUGUCUUCCUCCAUCUCUUGGCUGUGUUUCCUCUGGCCUAAUCCUUAGUCAGACUCAGUGUAACUGAUGACAAAGAUGAGCUCCAGCUGCUCUAGGGUUACAUCUUACCAGCUGGACAAACUUAGGGGAAAGUACCUUGUUCCUGAUCAUUCUAAUCAAAGUCCUGGGGCAGAUGUUAUCUGGCUCUAACUGCCUAUUUAAAUGGCCUGUGCUAUUAUUGAAGAGUGAAGCCCAGAUCAAGAGCCCCCAGCCCAAUUCCAGCCCUGCCAAUUAACCAAGUGAGCUUGGGUGAGUCCCUCCACCCUCUGGGUCUUGCUCUCCUCAUCUGGGGUGGGGUAUACUUGGGGAUCUCUAGGACCCCUUUGGGGUCUUCCCUGGCAGUUUGCAUGCAGCCUGCCUCCCCUGAGUGCUGCUCGGGCAGCAUGGUGCUGUCUGCAGUCUGCGGUCUGCGCGCCCACAGCUGCCCGCU